UCAUUUCACUGUUUCAGAUGAUCACUCUAAGGUUGAGCAAAGAGGAAACCUUCAGAAAAUUCGUCAACAAUUAAGUAUACGUACGAUUAAACGUCUUCAUCAUUAAAAUUUCGGAUUAAAAUUUUUACAAUAGUUACAGUUAAUUGUAAUUUCUAGCAACAAAUAAUAUCCACUCAAUGUUCAACACAAUUCUUCACAUGUUCCUUAUUCUCUUGGAAAAAGUAUUGACUGAAAUGGGUUAUGGUGGCAGGACAGGAAAGUGUCAUGGCAGCGCACGAACAUGUGCGCCGCCAUGACACUUUCAUAUGCCUUUCAUGAAGAUCAGCUUUGCGGCAGCGAGCGGGCAAAUUCAAAAAGAGAAGAUAAAAAUUGUUUAAAAAAUCGAAUUGAUACUUCGGGAGCAUUGAUGGCAGUAUAGUUUUCGAUACGAUACAUAAUGUAUCAUAAGUCAUACCUUAACGAUGCCGCAUUGCGUGUGGCGCCCUGCCUCCUCUGGAGUGAGGUACUACGAUGCCACUGGCGUCACUCAAACCCCCAGGUCUGAGCCUCUACUUCAGUCAAUUCUCUUUGGUCCCUAUGGUCCCUAUCAAUCUCUCGAAACAUCUUGAAGAGUUAGAACGUUAACGUUUCUCUGAAGUCGUGUUUCUAGUUUUUCAAUCACCGAUGAUGGACAUUGCGUGGGGAGAUGUAUAUUCUAAGGAACCAAAUCCACGGAACCUGCUUCGUUCCCUUUCUUUUAUCACGACACCAGACAUGACAUGCAAAGCGCCUGGAAAGUUAACUUAGUGGAAUGUAUUUUGCUCCACUGAUUCCCACCACAUCCUCAGGAAAGAUUCUACAUCCUGAGAAUGCAUUUUCUAAAUAUGUCUCAUAAUGGGGCAGGAUGGCACAGUGACUUGUGCUUGGACUCCAACAUUUGCUGGACUAUUUGAUAUCGUCGUCAUCGGCAUAUUUCAGAUAAUUUGAGAUAUUUCAGGAAAUCUGCAAUGACAGGGUAUAAUGAGAUUUUUUUUAUUCUUCACGUGCCAGAAAUCCAGAAUUUGAAGGGGUGCACUUUUCCUGGGGAAAUGACGCCAUAAAAUUCUUCAUUUCUACUUUCUUGAAUAUCUUGGUGAAAGGGGUAGAGAAGAGUUUGGAAAAUCCUCGUAUUCCAAAGCCAGGGAAAUUUCUCAUUUCAUGUCCUAGUCAGGAGUCUGGGGGCAUUGGCCCCAAACAUUGAUACGAUUAUUGAUAGAAUCGAUUUUCUGAGUUUCGAAAUAAAAUUGGGAUUGAUCUUUGAGCUCUGCUACGUCUUAAGAUAUUCACGAAAAUAGAUUCAAAAUGAAAUCUAUGAAUUUGCGAACUGACAGGAAAUUUAACAAAUUUUUUUUAUUUUUCCCAUGCCAAAACCCAAAAUUUGAAGGGGUGCCCUUUCCCUGGAGAAAUAACGCGAGGAAAUCCGUCAUUUCUACUUUUUUGGAUCUGUACAGAACUGAGAGGAGGGGGGCAGAUAAGGAUUUAUAAAAUCAUCGUAUUCGAAGGCCAACAAAAUUUCUGACUCCAUGCCCUGAUCAGACGUCUUGGGGGACAGCCCCAAAGUUUGAUAAGACUCCUUGAAAGAAUCGAUCUUCUAAAUAAAAUCGAAGAUGAAAUUGUAGCUGUACUACGUCUCAACAUACAGGAAAUACGAAAAAUUUCGGGGCAGAUUAAAAAUACCUACGAUUCCAAAAGUUUAUGGUUAUUAUUUUUAACUGCCUAUGACAUGUAUAUGUGUAGUCAAUAAAAAUAAGAAAAACAACUUUGCAUUAUAAAAUUGUAUUUUUUAUCAAUAACCACUAA